CUCCUCUUUUGGCUUUUUCUGCUUGUGGCCGCCUCAGGUAGCCAGCCCAUCUGUGCACAUCCCCAUGGGCCCCUGGGAGAAUUCCA
rnacentral:miRNA from 1 species